CGCUAUUUUACUAUUUCAGCCGUCACUUUUGAUUUUUUCAUCCACAGGUAGAACCAACUUUCUCUCUAACGGUUAAAAAAUCAAUUAUCAAAAUCACUACCAAACAAGCACCGAGUGUCUCCCAAAUCUCAUUUUCACCAUUCCUUCUGUAAUUUCAAAAAUACUGUUUUCAAAAAAUCAUCCCAAAAACUGACAUCACAAUCCUACGAUUAUCGAUCAGACCUCUUGAUCUCUCAUAGUUUUGUUUGAAAGUCUUUAUUAACUCAUAUUGCCGUAUUUGAAUUGAAUUAUUUAAUAUUAACAUAUUUAUCUUCAUGAUUCCGGCUUUCAUUCUGUAUCUCUAACAAAACUCCAUCACUAGAUUUGAAAAUAUAUGUGAUUUCCUCGUCUGUACAUCAAAAUUUUGAGAGCUAGGAUAAUUUCUGCUUUUUUUGUGCCAAAUGAUUAUUACAUGGAUGUCCC
rnacentral:lncRNA from 1 species